GGAGGCGAAGGUGAAGUAGUCCCGGAUACUGAACUGCACGUCCCGCACGCUCUCCGACUGGCCUGCAGGCAGGAGGUCGAUGCAGGGGAAGUGACGGGGCUGGCCCAUGAGGUGCGCCCUCAGAACAGCUGUGGCAUGGUGUCACACACCUGCCUGUGGCCCAGAACAGAGGCCCAGAGGGUAGAGUGGACAUCCCCAAGAUCUGCCCAAGGAAGCAGCCACACAGAGUCGCCACAAGAGCCUGGGCCCGGGAGCAGGACACCACGUGAUUUG
rnacentral:lncRNA from 1 species